rnacentral:snRNA from 1 species
CAGGCUUAUCCACUGCACUCCGGAUGUGCUGACUCCUGCGAUUUCCCCAAAUGCGGGAACUCGACUGCAUAAUUUGUGGUAGUGGGGGACUGCAUUCGUGCUUUCCCCUG